CCUACGGGAGGCAGCAGUGGGGAAUAUUGCACAAUGGGCACAAGCCUGAUGCAGCCAUGCCACGUGUAUGAAGAAGGCCUUCGGGUUGUAAAGUACUUUCAGCGGGGAGGAAGGGAGUAAAGUUAAUACCUUUGCUCAUUGACGUUACCCGCAGAAGAAGCACCGGCUAACUCCGUGCCAGCAGCCGCGGUAAU
rnacentral:rRNA from 1 species